rnacentral:rRNA from 1 species
CUACGGGGGGCGGCAGUAGGGAAUAUUGGGCAAUGGAAGGAAUUCUGACCCAGCCAUGCCGCGUGCAGGAAUACAGUCCUAUGGACUUUAAACUGCUUUUAUUAUAGAGUAACCUGGGGGACGCGUCCCCCACUGCAAGUAUAUAACGAAUAAGCAUCGGCUAACUCCGUGCCAGCAGCCCCGGUCA